rnacentral:rRNA from 1 species
UACGUAGGUGGCGAGCGUUGUCCGGAUUUACUGGGCGUAAAGGGCGUGCAGGCGGUUUGUUAAGUGCAGGGUGAAAGCUCCCGGCUCAACUGGGAGAGGUCCUUGCAUACUGGCGAACUCGAGGUAUGCAGGGGAGAACGGAAUUCCUGGUGUAGCGGUGAAAUGCGCAGAUAUCAGGAGGAACACCGGUGGCGAAGGCGGUUCUCUGGGCAUGACCUGACGCUGAGGAGCGAAAGCGUGGGGAGCGAACAGG